UACGAGGGGGGCAAGCGUUGUUCGGAAUUACUGGGCGUAAAGGGCGCGUAGGCGGCCUUCUAAGUCGAACGUGAAAUCCCCGGGCUCAACCCGGGAACUGCGUCCGAUACUGGAAGGCUUGAAUCCGGGAGAGGGAUGCGGAAUUCCAGGUGUAGCGGUGAAAUGCGUAGAUAUCUGGAGGAACACCGGUGGCGAAGGCGGCAUCCUGGACCGGCAUUGACGCUGAGGCGCGAAAGCCAGGGGAGCAAACGGG
rnacentral:rRNA from 1 species